rnacentral:rRNA from 1 species
AGUGAACGCUGGCGGUAGGCCUAACACAUGCAAGUCGAACGGCAGCACAGUAAGAGCUUGCUCUUACGGGUGGCGAGUGGCGGACGGGUGAGGAAUACAUCGGAAUCUACUUUUUCGUGGGGGAUAACGUAGGGAAACUUACGCUAAUACCGCAUACGACCUACGGGUGAAAGCAGGGGAUCUUCGGACCUUGCGCGAUUGAAUGAGCCGAUGUCGGAUUAGCUAGUUGGCGGGGUAAAGGCCCACCAAGGCGACGAUCCGUAGCUGGUCUGAGAGGAUGAUCAGCCAAACUGGAACUGAGACACGGUCCAGACCCCUACGGGAGGCAGCAGUGGGGAAUAUUGGACAAUGGGCGCAAGCCUGAUCCAGCCAUACCGCGUGGGUGAAGAAGGCCUUCGGGUUUUAAAGCCCUUUUGUUGGGAAAGAAAAGCAGCAGGUUAAUACCCCGCUGUUCUGACGGUACCCAAAGAAUAAGCACCGGCUAACUUCGUG